rnacentral:lncRNA from 7 species
GCGGGGGAGGAGUUUGCAUGGCAAUAUCUUGCACAGGGAAUCUCUCUGGAAAGCUCCAGCACAAAGGAGCUGUACGGCGGCCAAGAGAGCACGCAGCCCACGGUCCCCGAGCCGGCUGCCACCUGGAAGUCAGAGUCCUCAUCAGGAAUAGGGCUCGAGACAGCUGCUAAUGACUGACCUGAGGUCUGUUCACACACAGUCCCCUGCGCAGCCCUUGCAGAGGAACGGUCGGACGGGAUGGGGGACGCUGCACGAUGCCCGUGUAGCCAGAUGGCACAGCACCAUCGGCCCUGUGGCUCUGCCACAGCUCUCACCCGAGGGCACUGGGGGACAGGGACGUGACAGCCGCCUGCACAUGGACACUGGAGCUGCCAGCCCCAGUGGAGCCACCUGAUGCCAGCCCGGUUGCUGUGGGAACACAGCUGAAGAGAUGGUGGUGGCAGUGCCUGAGGACACGGGACUGCCUUCACACGGUUCUGCCAGUGCUGUUGGCCAUGACAGAUGAGCAGUGGUCCCCACCCACCCAGGGACCCAUGGCUGCUGACCCCACACUGCCAUUGGGUGCAGCGCAAAGGGAGAGGCUCAGGCCAGGGCUGAGGGUUUCAAAAUUUCCCUAUUGGUCUGUUGUUUGCUGAGAAAUUUCACGUGGUUCAUUGAGGAAAAGAUACUGAGGGGAAAGGGGACAAUGCCAAAACCACGAGCAACCACUGGCAAUUGCCACAAGAAUCCAGCAAAGCUGCCCAGAAGGCAGCACGAUGGCCACGAGCCCCCCAGCC